rnacentral:rRNA from 1 species
UACAGAGGUCUCAAGCGUUGUUCGGAUUCAUUGGGCGUAAAGGGUGCGUAGGCGGCGCGGUAAGUCGGGUAGUGAAAUCUUGGAGCUUAACUCCGAAACUGCAUUCGAUACUGCCGUGCUUGAGGACUGGAGAGGAGACUGGAAAUUUACGGUGUAGCGGUGAAAUGCGUAGAUAUCGUAAGGAAGACCAGUGGCGAAGGCGGGUCU